GAGGGGCGCCGACUGCAAGGCAGAGAUGAGAGGAGGCUCCUAGUACCGGCAGGGCUGGCCUGGGUGGGCACACCAGGGAAGGGGGGACUUAAACCCAGCCCUAAUGGGCAGAACCUCGGAGCAAGGAACCGAACAAGACUAAGGAUGCAAGGACGGGAGUCUCUGUGCACAGCCCUGCAGAUGCUGUGGGAAGCCCAGAGGACCAGGUCAGUGCCCCCUGCGAGCUGCGCCACAGAGUGCCUGAAACUGGAGCUACUGGUGGUCCCAGUUCUCACUGUUCCACAGGGUUAAAGCAUCUCCGUUUAUCCGUUCAACCCGCAGGAGAAAAAAAAUAAGUCAGCUCAGAGAAGUCAAGGCACGAGCCAAGUCUGGACAAUGCCCUGGAGUUUUGUUUAGUUCCUUCCUGCCUGAAAAAAUUGUUGACCACCUGAUGACUCCUUGUCACUGGACUUGACCAGCAGCCCAUUUACCUGGGCUCUCCUCAGUGAUAGGUGCAGUUGGGAAAAAAGAUUACAGGGUGACCUUUCAGUGGAAUUCUGGCUAGUCGACCCUCCAGGAACUGUCUGAUUUUAUGAGGAUGUGGGCCCUUGGUUGUUUUUAGUUGGGCUAUUUGGCAAGCCUGGAGAGAGAGAAAUUAAAUUUCUGAAGGCUG